rfam:Schistosoma mansoni strain Puerto Rico chromosome W, complete genome
GACAGCUUAGUGGUUAAAGCAAUCGGCUUUCAACCUACAGGUCACUGAUUCGAACCCAGUGUCA